AGAGUUUGAUCCUGGCUCAGGACGAACGCUGGCGGCGCGCCUAACACAUGCAAGUCGAACGAGAGAGAGGGAGCUUGCUUCCUCAAUCGAGUGGCGAACGGGUGAGUAACGCGUGAGGAACCUGCCUUUCAGAGGGGGACAACAGUUGGAAACGACUGCUAAUACCGCAUGACGCAUUUUGAUCGCAUGGUCGAAAUGCCAAAGAUUUAUCGCUGAAAGAUGGCCUCGCGUCUGAUUAGCUAGUUGGUGAGGUAACGGCCCACCAAGGCGACGAUCAGUAGCCGGACUGAGAGGUUGACCGGCCACAUUGGGACUGAGAUACGGCCCAGACUCCUACGGGAGGCAGCAGUGGGGAAUAUUGGGCAAUGGGCGCAAGCCUGACCCAGCAACGCCGCGUGAAGGAAGAAGGCUUUCGGGUUGUAAACUUCUUUUAAGUGGGAAGAGUAGAAGACGGUACCACUUGAAUAAGCCACGGCUAACUACGUGCCAGCAGCCGCGGUAAUACGUAGGUGGCAAGCGUUGUCCGGAUUUACUGGGUGUAAAGGGCGUGCAGCCGGGCAUGCAAGUCAGAUGUGAAAUCUCAGGGCUUAACCCUGAAACUGCAUUUGAAACUGUAUGUCUUGAGUGCCGGAGAGGUAAUCGGAAUUCCUUGUGUAGCGGUGAAAUGCGUAGAUAUAAGGAAGAACACCAGUGGCGAAGGCGGAUUACUGGACGGUAACUGACGGUGAGGCGCGAAAGCGUGGGGAGCGAACAGGGAUAGAUACCCUGGUAGUCCACGCUGUAAACGAUGGAUACUAGGUGUGCGGGGACUGACCCCCUGCGUGCCGCAAUUUAACCCAAUAAGUAUCCCACCUGGGGAGUACGAUCGCAAGGUUGAAACUCAAAGGAAUUGACGGGGGCCCGCACAAGCGGUGGAUUAUGUGGUUUAAUUAGAAGCAACGCGAAGAACCUUACCAGGUCUUGACAUCCUGCUAACGAAGUAGAGAUACAUUAGGUGCCCUUCGGGGAAAGCAGAGACAGGUGGUGCAUGGUUGUCGUCAGCUCGUGUCGUGAGAUGUUGGGUUAAGUCCCGCAACGAGCGCAACCCCUAUUGUUAGUUGCUACGCAAGAGCACUCUAGCGAGACUGCCGUUGACAAAACGGAGGAAGGUGGGGACGACGUCAAAUCAUCAUGCCCCUUAUGUCCUGGGCUACACACGUAAUACAAUGGCGGUCAACAGAGGGAUGCAAAACCGUAAGGUGGAGCGAACCCCUAAAAGCCGUCUCAGUUCAGAUUGUGGGCUGCAACCCGCCCACAUGAAGUCGGAAUCGCUAGUAAUCGCAGAUCAGCAUGCUGCGGUGAAUACGUUCCCGGGCCUUGCACUCACCGCCCGUCA
rnacentral:rRNA from 1 species